UACGAGGGGAGCAAGCGUUGUUCGGAAUUACUGGGCGUAAAGCGUGCGCAGGCGGUUUUGUAAGCCAGAUGUGAAAUCCCCGGGCUCAACCUGGGAAUGGCAUUUGGGACUGCAAGGCUGGAGUGUGGCAGAGGAGACUGGAAUUCCUGGUGUAGCAGUGAAAUGCGUAGAUAUCAGGAGGAAUACCGAUGGCGAAGGCAGGUCUCUGGGCUGACACUGACGCUCAUGCACGAAAGCGUGGGGAGCAAACAGG
rnacentral:rRNA from 1 species